rnacentral:lncRNA from 1 species
AAGCAACAGAAUGAAAGAUUUACAUACACAGUGACUUAAGUUCAGGUUGAUUUAUAAAGGGAAGAUUUUUUUUAAAUAAUCAUAUUUUUUUAAAAAUUUCAAAAAUAACCAUAAUUUAAAAAUUAUAAAAAUGGGCAGUUUUUUUGUCCUAAAGACACAUGGGCGCCACCCUAGAUGGCGCCUACCCUUUAGUUGGAGGGCAAGCCGCCACUAGAAGUGGCGCCUACUCCUAAAUAAUUUUUUUUAAUCUUUUUUUUGCUUUUUUUU